CUGACCACAAACACAACUGAUAUUUUAUCAUGUUGCUUCUGAAUGUGUUGAUAAGUCUAUAACUGUUUUCAAAUAAUUAUAAGGGAGAGCAGGGGGAACCAGGAGCACCAGGCCCGAAAGGUUCAAAGGGGGAUUUAGGAGACAAAGGUGAUGCAGGCCAAACAGGAUCACAAGGGCAACCUGGGGAGAAAGGUGACCAGGGUACAACUGAAAUCAUAGACUACAAUGGAAACAUCAAAGAGGCUCUUCAGAAGAUAACUACUAUUACAGUUACGGGUCCCCCUGGGCCUCCUGGACCAAUUGGACCAAAGGGGAUGAAGGGUGAUCAGGGUGUUCCUGGACUUCCUGGCCUGGAUGGUGAAAGGGUAAGAGGACUAAAAUGUUCUAAUUGUCCAGCUUCUAUUGUCUAUUUUGUGUGACACAUAUCAUUAAG